rnacentral:rRNA from 1 species
UACGGGGGGAGCAAGCGUUGUCCGGAUUUACUGGGCGUAAAGAGCGUGUAGGCGGGGUGAUAAGUCGGUGGUGAAAUGUCUCGGCUCAACCGAGAACCUGCUAUCGAUACUGUCACCCUUGAGUACGGAAGAGGGAAGUGGAAUUCCUGGUGUAGCGGUGAAAUGCGUAGAUAUCAGGAAGAACACCAGUAGCGAAGGCGGCUUCCUGGUCCGUCACUGACGCUGAGACGCGAAAGCGUGGGGAGCAAACAGGAUUAGAUACCCGCGUA